GGGAAAUCUCUAUCACAUAUAAAGAUACGACACGCUUAUGAUUUUUCUUUGUGUUUUCCUCAUGAAUUAUCGAGUUCUUGAAAAUCUAAUAAACAUUCUGGGCGUUUUUUAGAUCAUUUAUGUUAUCCUUUCAUUUCUAGUUGAUUUUAGUUUUGUUGUUUUUUGUCACCAGUAUAGAGAUAUAUGAACAGUUCAAGUCGAAAACAGUUCAUAGGACAUAGACUUCAUAAUUAAUAAAUAUAUCAUUGUUGCACUUGUAUUGUAGUAUUAGGGAGCUUAUAUACUGUACACCAAAUCUACGACGCGGACGUGACGAAAAACUGCCGCUAUUAUCACAGUUUCACUUCACGGGUAAAAACUAUGGAUUGUUGUUCGUGAACAAAGCCAGGGACACGAGAAAAACAAAGCAAAACUAGUCUCCAAUUGUUAGCGACUGUUUUUUGGUUUUAAAAGCUCCCUAUACUAGCAAACUAAGCGAAAUAUAUCAUCUGCUUGGCAAAACGUUUGAUUUCAUAUUUAAUAUUAUGUUGUUAGUUUCAUCCACGCCUGCGCGGCGACAAUCUUCCACCGGAAGUGGAAGGGUAUUCCUGCUGAAGGCAACAGAGUAAGUACAUACAGAGAUCUCACUUCAGCGGGAAAACUGUAAGGUAGUUUUUACUGCGCAUACU